UACGGAGGAGGCAAGCGUUAUCCGGAAUUAUUGGGCGUAAAGCGUCUGUAGGUGGUUUAAAAAGUCCACUGUUAAAAAUUGAGGCUUAACUUCAAAGAUGCCGUGGAAACUUUUAAACUUGAGUAUGGUAGGGGUAGAGGGAAUUUCCAGUGGAGCGGUGAAAUGCGUAGAUAUUGGAAAGACCACCAAUGGCGAAGGCACUCUACUGGGCCAUUACUGACACUGAGAGACGAAAGCUAGGGGAGCAAAUGGG
rnacentral:rRNA from 1 species